AAUCAACGCUGGCGGCGUGCCUAACACAUGCAAGUCGCACGAGAAAGGGGAGCAAUCCCUGAGUAAAGUGGCGCACGGGUGAGUAACACGUGAAUUAUCUACCUCCGAGUGGGGAAUAACUGAGAGAAAUCUUAGCUAAUACCGCAUAACACUUACGAGUCAAAGCAGCAAUGCGCUUGGAGAGGAGUUCGCGGCCGAUUAGUUAGUUGGCGGGGUAAUGGCCCACCAAGACGAUGAUCGGUAUCCGGCCUGAGAGGGCGCACGGACACA
rnacentral:rRNA from 1 species